UAAAGCAGGGUGCGACGGGGGAUUCUUCUCGGUACCGACACCCGCGCAGAGAGCGCGGGAGUGACGAGGUGGACGGCAGGCAGGGUGAUGGAAACGGAAGGGGAGCGGGAGAGGGCGGCGGCGGGGAGUCAGAGAGGGAGCCCGCAGCUCGUAGUGAACGACGAUCUCCUUUAGAUGGCGAAGAAGGACACCUGGCGUUCAGCUCUCGCAAAGCCCGGCAAUGGCGUCAUCUCCUUCCACGACGACAAAUUCAACUGGAAGUUAAGACGAGUCCGAUCUUUAUCACACUCUUUUUCUACUAUGUUUGAUUUAAUCUCUUCCAAGGUUCGAUUUUUCUCAGCUUUUCCCAACAUAAAUUUGUAUCGGUCGAGUAAACCCCAAAUUAGAGAACAUAGUUUUCUUGUACAUCUCUUUUAUCUGGUUCCCUUCUGUGAGUAAGAUCAUCAUCUUUCUUUUGCCACUUUCUUCAAAACAAUCGGCAUCCCAACUUUCGGUGGAAGAAAGAGCCCAAAACGUGAAUUUUCUGGAUUUUUUUGGUAAAGGAUUGGCGAAGAAGAUGCAAAGUUUCAAACUUUUUCCCCUUAAAUGCGAAAAUGUGUUCAUCAAUUAAUAGAUUCCUCUAGCUAAAAUAGAAAUCUUUUUCUUGUGGGUUAUAGCGGGAGCGGCUGAUGAUUAGCUUGUUUAUUUUUUACUUCACAGACACUCCCUCGAGACAGAGAACUAAAGUGGAGAUCCAUGUCAUUUUUGUCCAAAAGAAUUCAUCACCUAUUCAACUGUAAGGAGUCUUAGAAAGUAUGAAAAUUGAAGAGGUAGCACCGUUCCAUGAUACCUUUUGUUGCAAACACAUUGAACAACAAGUUUUGCAUGUUAGACUUGCCUUCUCUCGAGAACUGCAGUAACUAUAUGUAUAUAUUACAUCGUUUCAAAUUAGCUCAUGAGUCCAAAUUAUUGUCCAUCUUUAGCUUUAACAUGAUCAAAUAUGCCCCUUUCCUAGAAGAUGUCAACUUCUAUGAUCUUUCGCAAGCUUGGACCAUUGCAAUGGUGCAAAAGCCUAUUUAGUUUCUGAAUUAAUUCUACAGGUAACUGUUAAAUCUUUUACUCUAUCAUUUGAUUCAAUCAAGUUGAUUUUAUGUUGCAAGUUCUUGGUAAUCUUAAAUAGUGUAACUUGAGUUUUGUAUAGGGAAACAUAGUAUGGUGAUACCUCUAUCUGCAUUGCUUGUUUGCCAUCUAUAUUAACUCUAAGAAGUUGAACAAUUAUUUAUCAACCUUUAAACAGAUCGCCAAGUGAAGAAGAUGAUUCCAAACACCAUGGUGUUGCAGCACAGAGAUUUUGCUACAGUAAAUGUUCAAGCAUGAGCCUUUUGGUCAUCUAAGCCUCUCAAGUGAAAAAAAUGCAGUAUGCUGCACUGAACAGAUGAGUUGAAUUAGAGACUUGUGUUCAUGCUGAGCAUCAAAUAGACACUUUCGAUGAGGUUUGUGCAGAUGGCCAUCAGACUAAUGUACUAAACCUUGUUAUUACCUUGAUCCAGGAGGGAUAGCUGCAGCUGGUGAGGGUACCAAAAUGGUGUAUGUGCCUGCUCCCCUGGCAGUGGUUGUGAAGGCCAUGAAGCUUCUCUCAUGGAUGUUUAAAUGCCUGGAGCAGAGUCAUAUGUGUUGCAAGAAGGCAUGCCUUACACCCUCUUUGCAGGAACUGGUUCUUAGCCUUUCCCUUGAGGUUUCUUCACACCGACGUGUGGACGAAGUAAAGCAGGCAAAGUUGGGGUUUGAGCUAUGGAAAGGAUCUUCAUUUUCUCGGAAGCUUCUACUUUGAGCUAUGUGGUCGUUAUAUAAAAUGGAAAAGUGUCCUCUCGAUAUCAAUCAAUAUUAGAUGUUUUUUAUUCA